rnacentral:rRNA from 1 species
CGCCUGUUUAUCAAAAACAUGGCUCUCUGUAUAUUGAAGAUAGAGAGUCGGACCUGCCCGGUGAAUUUUUUAACGGCCGCGGUACUCUGACCGUGCAAAGGUAGCAUAAUCAUUUGCCUUAUAAUUGAAGGCUAGAAUGAAUGGUUUGACAAGAAUACAACUGUCUCUUUACAAUUACAUAAAAUUUUAUCUGCAGUUGAAGAAGCCUGCAUUUGAAUAAAAGACAAGAAGACCCUAUCGAGCUUAAAAAAAACUGGUGGAAUAACAAACUUAAUCCUAACUUAUAAAUAAAUAAAUAGUCAACUACUGGAAAUUUUGGUUGGGGCGACCGGGGAACAAAAAAAACUUCCUUUAUAAAAAUUUAGAUGCCCAAAUAUUGAUCCAGCAUUAUAUGAUUAAAGAAAUUAGUUACAGUAGGGAUAACAGCAUUAUCUUUUUUAAGAGUUCUUAUCGAAACCCCUUUGUGACCUCGAUGUUGGACCAGAAUAUCCUAAAGAUGCAGCCGUCUUAAGGG